CUUGGCAAACUUUCAUGGCAAUGUGUCUCUAGCUAUGAUUGAGCUCGGAGGAGGUUUUUACCUGAGCCCCAGCAGUCCAGGACCUCGAUAAUGGUGCAGCAAAUGUGGCCACAGGCACAGCACUAAUGUCCCUGUGGUGUACUGGUGUUGGGUGUGAGGCUUUUCUUUUCAUGCUGCGUGCCAAGCAGGUGCUGGGCAGCUUCUCCAGCACGAUUCUGAGAUCACUUAUUCUGCUUCCAGACAGCAGGACCUAAGGCAGGAUAUUCUGGAGGGACAGGGGGCUGUGUGAAGGUAGAGGAGGACCCUUGGGUGCCACAGGUGGGUGUGAGAAGGGUCUGUGGUGCUCUCAGGAGAGGGACAGGCUGACAAAAAAAGCGCUUUUUCCAGGUGAAAGAGGCUUGGAUGGGUUGUCCAGAAGCACCUGGGGUGCCAGAAGGUGGCUGCUGCAGAUCCACCCUGGGGACAGGAGACCUCCAUCUGCCCCACCUCCAGCCUGCUCACGUUCCCCUCUGAAGAUGGCUCAGUGGUGGAAAUGGAGCACAUUAGCUGGGUUUGUGCCCCGACGGACAUGGAUCUGUAAAAACAACAUUUACCACCACGGAUGCUGGAGAAAACACAGGUGUCCCACAAACACCUGUGUGCAUGAAGCGACUUAUUUCCCAUGAACUUUUUGCUAUCCUAGCGUCUCCUCUGACUGAAGCUGGUCCAGUGGUCAUUUUUGCAAUUAACCCCUCCAAAAGUUGAAUGUCAAGUUAGAAGCAGGGUGACAGCAGAGCUCGGACAUAAUGUGGAACCUGCUUCUGCACACCCUGAGGGCUGUGGGGCUGCUCCCGUCCUUCCCUGCUCAGCCUGCUGGUCAGUUUGGGAGUGUGCUGUUAGUCUCUGGUAUUCCCUGAAAGAUGAAGCUCUGGGUCUGCAGGAGCUUGGCCUCCUUUUCUGGAAUAAUUUUGGGUCAUGGUGCUUCACGGCCCCUUUUAUGACCACAAGAAAUGGGGAGGACAUCAACGAGCAUGUCGCAAUAGGAAAGCCGUGAAGGCCAGCUGUUGGUGACACAGGGUAAAAAAGCCAUGAGGAAAACAGGAGGCAUCUCAGGGGAGAAAUGCACAGAGAGAAAUGCUUGCAAAGAGGGAAAAGGACGAGCAGCCUACACGCCAACCCUCAUGGGGCACAGCUCCAUCAGCCCCAGUGCUCCCCCGAAAGAGUUAAUUCCCCAGCCAGUGCACUAAGUGGUCAGCAGCCCAAUAAAUUAUGCCCUCAAAAGACA
rnacentral:lncRNA from 1 species